AGAGUUUGAUCCUGGCUCAGGAUGAACGCUAGCGACAGGCUUAACACAUGCAAGUCGAGGGGCAGCGGUGGUGAAGGCUUGCCUUUACCAGCCGGCGACCGGCGCACGGGUGAGUAACACGUAUGCAACCUGCCUGCCACGGCCGGAUAAUCGGGAGAAAUCCCGUCUAAUACGGCAUAAUGCAUCGACGGGACAUCCUGUUGGUGCCAAAGGUUGAUUCCGGUGGCGGAUGGGCAUGCGUCGCAUUAGUUAGUUGGCGGUGUAACGGACCACCAAGACGACGAUGCGUAGGGGUUCUGAGAGGAAGGUCCCCCACACUGGUACUGAGACACGGACCAGACUCCUACGGGAGGCAGCAGUGAGGAAUAUUGGUCAAUGGGCGGGAGCCUGAACCAGCCAAGUCGCGUGAGGGAUGACGGCCCUAUGGGUUGUAAACCUCUUUUGCCGGGGAGCAAAGUGCCGCACGUGUGCGGUUUGGAGAGUACCCGGAGAAAAAGCAUCGGCUAACUCCGUGCCAGCAGCCGCGGUAAUACGGAGGAUGCGAGCGUUAUCCGGAUUUAUUGGGUUUAAAGGGUGCGUAGGCGGACGCUUAAGUCAGCGGUAAAAUUGCGGGGCUCAACCUCGUCGAGCCGUUGAAACUGGGUGCCUUGAGUGGGCGAGAAGUACGCGGAAUGCGUGGUGUAGCGGUGAAAUGCAUAGAUAUCACGCAGAACUCCGAUUGCGAAGGCAGCGUACCGGCGCCCAACUGACGCUGAAGCACGAAGGCGUGGGUAUCGAACAGGAUUAGAUACCCUGGUAGUCCACGCAGUAAACGAUGAAUGCUAGUUGUCCGGGGCGAUUGAGUUCUGGGUGACACAGCGAAAGCGUUAAGCAUUCCACCUGGGGAGUACGCCGGCAACGGUGAAACUCAAAGGAAUUGACGGGGGCCCGCACAAGCGGAGGAACAUGUGGUUUAAUUCGAUGAUACGCGAGGAACCUUACCCGGGCUUGAAUUGCAGAUGACGGAUCCAGAGAUGGUGACUUCCUUCGGGACAUCUGUGAAGGUGCUGCAUGGUUGUCGUCAGCUCGUGCCGUGAGGUGUCGGCUUAAGUGCCAUAACGAGCGCAACCCCUUUCGUCAGUUGCCAUCGGGUAAUGCCGGGCACUCUGGCGACACUGCCGCCGCAAGGUGUGAGGAAGGUGGGGAUGACGUCAAAUCAGCACGGCCCUUACGUCCGGGGCGACACACGUGUUACAAUGGGUGGUACAGCGGGAAGCCAGGCGGCGACGCCGAGCGGAACCCGAAAUCCACUCUCAGUUCGGAUCGGAGUCUGCAACCCGACUCCGUGAAGCUGGGUUCGCUAGUAAUCGCGCAUCAGCCACGGCGCGGUGAAUACGUUCCCGGGCCUUGCACACACCGCCCGUCAAG
rnacentral:rRNA from 1 species